GGCGCAUUGAACGAAAAGGCCGUCCUCGCGGCGGCUGAKGGAGGAUGAAGUGGGCCUCGUGCCUGCUUCCGCACUCCCGGGGCAUCUCGUCAUACUUCCGCUAGUCGGUCGAAUGUGAGGUGCACCAAGAGCAA
rnacentral:rRNA from 1 species